CAGAAAAGGAGAGAAGAGAAAUGGCCUGGGUAGAGGUUUUCAAAACUCCCCUAAGAGGUCAGAGGGUUCCAACAGGCAGUUUCCAGGACUGGCUCACUAUUAGGCAAGCCAGCUUCUUCCCUCUACUACAACUGCUGGUCUUUGGAGAACAACUGAAGAAUCUUCAACCUAACAACGUCACUUCCGGUUCCAACCCUCAAGAGCCCACCUCUUCUUGACGUCACUUCCAGAUCCAGAAUGCCAUCUACCCAUGAUAUCACUUAUGGUAGCCAACCAUAUAUAACACCUCCAUUUUGCCUUUUGUCAGUUCCAUUUUGAACUCUGUCUUUAAAGACAUCAUUUCUUUUUUUUCUCUGCAGUAUACGGGGGGAUCUCCCAAACCUUUGAUGGUAUUUGUGUCCUUAUUUUACACUAUUUUCUUAGCUUAUACAUUGACUUAAAUUAAAAUAAUACAGCAGCAAUGUUAACCUUUGUGUGGUAUUCGUAUUUUUGUUACUCAGGUUUUAGUCAUGGGUCUGGUAUAUCUGCAGUGGU